GCUGGCGGCAGGCCUAACACAUGCAAGUCGAGGGAGAAGCUGACUUCGGUCAGUGGGCACCGGCGCACGGGUGAGUAACGCGUGGAAACCUACCCCGGGGUGGGGGAUAACCGCUGGAAACGGCGGCUAAUACCGCAUACGCCUUUUAAGGGAAAGAUUUAUCGCCCUGGGAUGGGUCCGCGUUAGAUUAGGUAGUUGGUGGGGUAAAGGCCUACCAAGCCGACGAUCUAUAGCUGGUCUGAGAGGAUGAUCAGCCACACUGGGACUGAGACACGGCCCA
rnacentral:rRNA from 1 species